rnacentral:rRNA from 1 species
AGAGUUUGANNNGGCUCAGAAUCAACGCUGGCGGCGUGCCUAACACAUGCAAGUCGCACGAGAAAGGGUAGCAAUACCUGAGUACAGUGGCGCACGGGUGAGUAACACGUGAAUCAUCUACCUUCGAGUGGGGAAUAACUGGGAGAAAUCUCAGCUAAUACCGCAUAAUACCCACGGGUCAAAGCAGCAAUGCGCUUGAAGAGGAGUUCGCGGCAGAUUAGUUAGUUGGCGGGGUAAUGGCCCACCAAGACGAUGAUCUGUAUCCGGCCUGAGAGGGCGCACGGACACACUGGAACUGAAACACGGUCCAGACUCCUACGGGAGGCAGCAGUGGGGAAUUUUGCGCAAUGGGGGAAACCCUGACGCAGCAACGCCGCGUGGAGGAUGAAAUCCCUUGGGAUGUAAACUCCUUUCGAUCGGGACGAUUAUGACGGUACCGGAAGAAGAAGCCCCGGCUAACUUCGUGCCAGCAGCCGCGGUAAUACGAGGGGGGCAAGCGUUGUUCGGAAUUAUUGGGCGUAAAGGGCGCGUAGGCGGUUUGACAAGUCUGAUGUGAAAUCUCUGGGCUCAACCCAGAGUCUGCAUUAGAAACUGUCGGGCUUGAGUAUGGGAGAGGUGAGUGGAAUUUCCGGUGUAGCGGUGAAAUGCGUAGAUAUCGGAAGGAACACCUGUGGCGAAAGCGGCUCACUGGACCAUAACUGACGCUGAGGCGCGAAAGCUAGGGGAGCAAACAGGAUUAGAUACCCUGGUAGUCCUAGCCCUAAACGAUGAUUGCUUGGUGUGACAGGUACCCAAUCCUGUCGUGCCGAAGCUAACGCGAU